rnacentral:tRNA from 1 species
UUCCUGGUGGUCUAGUGGUUAGGAUUCGGCACUUUGACUGCUGUGGCCUGGGUUCAAUCCCCAGUUGGGGGA